rnacentral:rRNA from 1 species
AUUGAACGCUGGCGGCAUGCCUUACACAUGCAAGUCGAACGGUAACGCGGGGUAACCUGGCGACGAGUGGCGAACGGGUGAGUAAUGCAUCGGAACGUGCCCAGUAGUGGGGGAUAGCCCGGCGGAAGCCGGAUUAAUACCGCAUACGACCUACGGGUGAAAGCGGGGGACCGUAAGGCCUCGCGCUAUUGGAGCGGCCGAUGUCAGAUUAGGUUGUUGGUGGGGUAAAAGCCUACCAAGCCGACGAUCUGUAGCUGGUCUGAGAGGACGACCAGCCACACUGGGACUGAGACACGGCCCAGACUCCUACGGGAGGCAGCAGUGGGGAAUUUUGGACAAUGGGGGCAACCCUGAUCCAGCCAUGCCGCGUGCGGGAAGAAGGCCUUCGGGUUGUAAACCGCUUUUGUCAGGGAAGAAACGCUCUGGGCUAAUACCCCGGGGUAAUGACGGUACCUGAAGAAUAAGCACCGGCUAACUACGUGCCAGCCGCCGCGGUAAAAC